UACGAAGGGGGGCUAGCGUUGUUCGGAAUUACUGGGCGUAAAGCGCACGUAGGCGGACAUUUAAGUCAGGGGUGAAAUCCCAGAGCUCAACUCUGGAACUGCCUUUGAUACUGUCGAUCUGGAGUAUGGAAGAGGUGAGUGGAAUUCCGAGUGUAGAGGUGAAAUUCGUAGAUAUUCGGAGGAACACCAGUGGCGAAGGCGGCUCACUGGUCCAUUACUGACGCUGAGGUGCGAAAGCGUGGGGAGCAAACAGG
rnacentral:rRNA from 1 species